rnacentral:miRNA from 1 species
UGUUGUCAUAUUCUCCUCUCUCCCUUCCCUUCCCUUCCUCGUUCCAUUGCAAAGAGAGAGAGAGGGAGGGAGAGGGAGAGGGAGAGAGGAAGUUGGC